AUUGAACGCUGGCGGCAUGCUUUACACAUGCAAGUCGAACGACAGCGCGGGCUUCGGCCUGGCGGCGAGUGGCGAACGGGUGAGUAAUACAUCGGAACGUACCCAGUAGUGGGGGAUAGCUCGGCGAAAGCCGGAUUAAUACCGCAUACGACCUGAGGGUGAAAGCGGGGGAUCUUCGGACCUCGCGCUAUUGGAGCGGCCGAUGGCAGAUUAGCUAGUUGGUGGGGUAAAGGCCUACCAAGGCGACGAUCUGUAGCUGGUCUGAGAGGACGACCAGCCACACUGGGACUGAGACACGGCCCAGACUCCUACGGGAGGCAGCAGUGGGGAAUUUUGGACAAUGGGCGAAAGCCUGAUCCAGCAAUGCCGCGUGUGUGAUGAAGGCCUUCGGGUUGUAAAGCACUUUUGGCGGGAACGAAAAGGACUGUGCCAAUACCACGGUUCGAUGACGGUACCCGCAGAAUAAGCACCGGCUAACUACGUG
rnacentral:rRNA from 1 species